rnacentral:lncRNA from 1 species
UGUAAAUACUUUUACUGAUUUUUUUUUAUCAGCAAUGAAUUAAUGGAAUAAAAUGGAACACUUUAGGGGUGUCCCAAUCCUUAUACAUAAGAUACUCCUAAUUUAAGCAAUCAACAAAGCAAAGCAAGAUUAACUGACACACCACUUAACUUAAGAAUCUUAAACUAUUUAAACAGCCCUUACCCAAACAUAACUGAUUUUGCAAAGACCAACAAACCAAAAACUUGAUGGCUAUCUAGCUACUAGAAUUUUAACAAUAUAAAAACUUGAAGUCUAGCUAGCUCCCUACCCAUUGCAACAAUACCAAACCUACUACCUUGUGUACUACAUUUUAUUGCCAAAGUGAGGCACGACCUUUGCUGUCAAUCUACUUCCAAUAGCUACAAAAAACUCUGCACAUCCUCAUCUUUUAAGCACCAAAAGCUAGUCAACCAACCACAUAAAACGUGCAUCUGCAAAAACUGCAUAACGUUGACCAGAAUUGACAGCAUUUGGACAUGGGCUUACAGGUCAUAUUUUUCCUAGCAGACCCCUCAAACAAACCUUUGUCCUGCUUGCUACUGCAAAAAUUAACCCAGGACCAUUUUUUGCUUAAUAAAUCACUUCUACAUCAUCAUCUUCCUUGUCCCUUCCUCAGCGCCCUUCUUGUAACUGUAACGUAUAUAUGACUCCACCACAAAGAGAAUCAUUGUCCUUGCAUCCUUACCAUAAGACCUUUUCAACCAAUAGACAUAGAUAAACAAAUCUAACCAAUAGUUAAUGCACAAAAUAGGUAAUCAAGAUACAUAUGAAGAUAAUGAAAAAACAAAGGAUCCCAUCCAGCACCUAACCCCACCCUAAUACUACCCUUUUAAUUUCAAACAUAUAACAUGAUAAAGAAUCCAAUAAGGGAACCCAACAUAAAAAACAUUCAUCAUAUCUUUCAACCAUAACCGAGCAUUGAAUCACCUUUGUCGUGACUUCAGUUGCACCUGCAAACAACUAACAACUAGCUCUCUAAGAGCAUUAGUAGCACUAAUCUCAGAAACAUCACGACAACAAAAUUAAAAAUAGUUUACAGCUGUAAAAGACUUCCUACUAUUAAAACAAACUCUUCCUUCUUCAUCUUCUCUUCCGGAUAGAUUUCAGACAUUCCGUAGGAUUUAUGCACUAGUGGGCGUAUGUAAAUUCAGCUAGAUUCUCUUUGCUGGUAAGCCACGUCCACGCCUUUAGUUGAGCCAAAGUGAAGAUUUUAGAGUUGUCUGCUCGACCUUCCUUAAAAAUGACUUGAUUUCUUUGUUUCCAAAUUUCUCCGACCACUGCAAUCCAAACACACCUCCAAGAUCUGCUUAUCUCUUGUGUAGCCCAGUUCAGAUUAAACUGUGGGAAAUGGGAUUUGCCUUCCCUAUGAAACCCUGUUGGUUCCCCCACCCAUUCACUACAAAGGCACCAUACUCUCCGGGCUACUCUACAUUCGAAGAAAUACAUGACUUCCACUUUCCUAUUCUUGUUUGGUUUUGGGUGGUUCAACUGUUGUGUUGAAUUUGGAGAUUGAGAAAGAGUUAGCACUAAGCUGGGUUAGCUUUAUGCAAUGAUAAAGUUGUCUCUGCUUUAUUUCAUGCACUCAUUCGUAUAUGUGGUUUUUUUUACUUGCAAUGAAAGUGUGCAAAGAGUAAUUACACUUUCUUAUAAUUUGCCUUUGCC